rnacentral:lncRNA from 1 species
UCUUCUUAGGAUUUAAUUAUAUAAUAUUCAUGUCACACCUUUAUAGUUCAUUGUAACAUGUUUGAUAGUUCAAAAAAAAAAAAGGAAAAAUCAUCACCGACGAACUCUCAUCUUUCUCCCUGUUUAUCAAAAACCAGAGAAAAAUCCUGUGUCGGUGUGUUACAAAAUCUCACCGGGUUUCAUUGCCGGUGAAACAACACUAAAAAAAAAGACAAAAAUAGCGUGCGAGUAACUUAAUUGCACGAUCCUUAAACAAAAAACACGAAUCUCAAAAAGAAAAAUAAAAUUCUCAAACAAAAAGGUUGAGAACUUUGCGGUCUCCGUCGUGAACGUAAUUAUCUUCUCCGAUCCCACUUUCCAAGCACGUCACCGUCGUCACAGAUUCCUCAGAAUUCAUCGACGGUGUUCCCGGACGGCGAAUUUCCUUCCGGCAUCCGUUGGUCAACGUGCUCUGCGGCGUCAACCGGAGAUUAAGAUCAGUCGUCGCCGGAAGCUUCAAAACUUCACCGCCUGAUCGCUUGCGUUUACCACCAGAACUCAUGAACCGGACUUUCGGGUUCGGAUCUCGGAUCUUCCGCGCGUCGUUGCACGUGACUUCACCUUCAGACGAGUCAUCAACGGUGGAGGCAAGAGCAUCUAAACCGAGAAACUCCGGUAAGGGUUUAAGGGUUCCGCCACGAAGCACCGUUUCAACCGCUGCUUGACACACGUGCCAGUUUCCUGUCCACAAAAGUCCGACAGCACCGUUAACGGGGUUCACGGUUCUUCCACACGCUUCAAACAACAAAGAUUGAAACAAAGCUGCAUAUCAUAAAAAGAAACCGUAGUUAGUUUAGUUCAUCAAACAGCUUAUAUCAGAGUGAGUUUGUCAGAACCAUGGUGAGCCGUGAUUUUGCAAGAGUUAAAACUCGUGGAUCACCGUGAUUCUCAAACUACUUAGAGUGAAAGUGUAAAAAAUGAAAGUAAAGAUUAUUUACCAGGUCUUUGUGGUAGAGGGACGUUGGAAAUGAAAGACAUAAGGUCAGCACGGCCGAAAAAUUUGGCUACAAAGACAGUGGCAUGACCUUGAGCUUCAGGGGUAUCGAUCCAUUGAAUACAAGGGCGUAAGAUACAUGACUCACUACAACCCUUUCUAAGGACACGGCAACCGUUGCAACUCAUACCUAUUUGGUAAAAGCUAAAAGCACUAAAUGAGUGAAAGUGUUAUAAUAUUUUUCUUUAUUUAAACUAGUUGCUAAAUACACCUCACAUGAGGAGAAGAGGAAGUAAUGGAAGAGAAGAGAAUGGAACUAGGGUGCAAGUGCAAAUGGGGUAUAAAUAAACACUAGUUAGGAGAGAGGAAGAGGAAACUAGAGAACGAGAAUGAGUGGGUGGAAGUGAGGUAUGGUUAGGAGUUAACUACGGUUAGGUUAGUUUGAGAGAGAGUGUUGGUGCGUGUGUCUGCGUGCAAAGCUUACUUUUCUUACUUCGGUUACUUGUAUGGAAGGGUGAGAUUCCAAGGUCUUGGGCGUGAGCGGCUCCGUGUUUCCGCGGAUGGAUGUUCCUACACCGUUGGAUUCUCUUUCUUUCAGAUUCGGCAUUUGAUGCGUGACUUCCUUUUCGUCGUUGGGUAUAACGUUGUUUAUUACUCCUUCCUCCCCAUAGUCACCAUUUGAUUAUUUUACGUAUAUUAAAAAAAAGUGAUUUUAAGAAAAAGAAAGUGUAUAAAUUAAAGAAAAAGAAAAGUGAUUUUAAGUAUCAUUCUUAAAGUAUUAAUGGAUUUAUUAUUAUUCUAGAUGUAAGAUAAAAUAUAUUAAAUUGGAAGCGAC